UCUGCAGAAUUUAAACAUAUAACUAAGCGAAGCAAUAAAAAAAAAAAUAACGAAGAUUUCCUUAGUAACGGCGAGUUAAAAAGAAAAAGCUCAGUGCUGAAUCCGAUAUUGGGCUACAUGGAAAUUUAACGUAUAGGUAUAACUAACCGUAUUAUUAACAUUUUUACACCCAAAUUCCCCUUGAGCGAGGCUACAGUCCAUAGAAGGACUAGACCUGUACAGGUGAGAAAAGUUAUGGUAUGGAAUCGGGCUGUUUGAGAUUGCAGCUCAAAGAGGAUGGCAAACCUCAUCUAAGGCUAAAUACGACCACGAGACCGAUAGUAGAUAAGUACCAUGAGGAAAAGUUGCAAAGAACUUUGAAGAGAGAGUCAAGAGGGCGUGAAAAUGAAAUGGGAACGAAUAGAAAUACGAAAAUUAUCGAUAGCAAUCUUAAUUGAUCUAUUGUUCAUUAUCCAGAGCAUUUUAACAAAUUAGUACAAUCAAUUUAGUGGACCAAUUAUUUCAAUUGAUGGGAUCCUAAAUGUGCUGAAAUAUGUCUUAGAAGUUUCCCCAUAUAACUUUCACUUGAAAUAAUAGUGACAUGUAUCGAUAAUUUUACUAGUUAUAUUUACAUGUAAUCGUAUGCGACUUUAUCGGUCAAAGUAAUUGGUAAUAUUAUAAUAUUGUAUGCAACAAAGUUAUGUAUCGAUGUGAACGUUAAUCACCUAUCUGACCCGUCUUGAAACACGG
rnacentral:ncRNA from 1 species